AACCUUAUGGACCUGCGGGCGUAUACCUGCGGAGGGAUCAUUACCGAGUUAAGGUAGUCACUCACUGCCCGACCUCCCAACCCUGUAUCUACCACACUUUGUCGUUGCUUCGGCGGACCGGUUGACCAACUGGUCGUGACCGCCGGGGGCUGGUUCUGUCCCCCCUGGAGAGCGUCCGCCGAUGGCCACACCGCAAAAACUCUUGUACCGAAACGUGUCGUCUGAAUUAUAUUUGAGAAA
rnacentral:misc_RNA from 1 species